UCUAAUCAUAUUAAAAUAAACGGUUGUAAAUGCUCUAUUUUUAUAACCGUCAUGUUUCUUUUAUUCACCACCACUUAUUUUAUCCGUCCGUUACAACUAAUUAUUUCAUCCGUCCAUCAGACUCUUAACCAACGAGGUAGCCUUAAUAUAUGUAACUAAUCAACUUUUAAAGAUGAUUGCUUCCAACAAAUUGCUUAAGGAUUUGACUUGUGACCUUGUUUAAU
rnacentral:sRNA from 1 species